rnacentral:rRNA from 1 species
AUUGAACGCUGGCGGCAGGCUUAACACAUGCAAGUCGAGCGGAGUGAUGGUGCUUGCACUAUCACUUAGCGGCGGACGGGUGAGUAAUGCUUAGGAAUCUGCCAUUUAGUGGGGGACAACAUUCCGAAAGGAAUGCUAAUACCGCAUACGUCCUACGGGAGAAAGCAGGGGAUCUUCGGACCUUGCGCUAAAUGAUGAGCCUAAGUCGGAUUAGCUAGUUGGUGGGGUAAAGGCCUACCAAGGCGACGAUCUGUAGCGGGUCUGAGAGGAUGAUCCGCCACACUGGGACUGAGACACGGCCCAGACUCCUACGGGAGGCAGCAGUGGGGAAUAUUGGACGAUGGGCGGAAGCCUGAUCCAGCCAUGCCGCGUGUGUGAAGAAGGCCUUUUGGUUGUAAAGCACUUUAAGCGAGGAGGAGGCUACUAGUACUAAUACUACUGGAUAGUGGACGUUACUCGCAGAAUAAGCUCCGGCUAACUCUGUGCCAGCAGCCGCCGUAAGAC